GCCUCUGUGGCUUAGUGGUAUAGCGCCACCUUGGUAAGGUGGAGGUCGCGAGUUCAAUUCUCGCCAGAGGCU
rnacentral:tRNA from 1 species